GCAUGUGGAAAAAUGAAAAGUGGAUUUUAAUUUACAAAUGAUACAAAUAUUACCAAUUGAUAAUGUUCGAGAGGAAAGGAAUUACUCCGGGGUUGGUACAGUGCACGCUAUUCCUAGAUCAGUACUAUUCUUCACUCUAGAGAAAUAAGUUCCAUCCUAAUGCAGUAUUCAUAGUCUAAUCGGAAUUAUUAAACUGAAAUGUGAAUCAUCCUUGAAAACCUGGAUGAUUUCUCUUCUUGGUGCUGUUCAUCAUUAUGUAAAAACAAAACAAACAUAAUUUCAAAUGAAUCUAAAAUGUAUGAAGGUUCUGCGGAUGCAGAGACUGAAGGUUUAGAAGAGGACGAAGAGGAGAAUGAGAGAAAGAAUAAAGAAGAAUCCCAAUCUGCCAGACAAAUUUAUAGAACAAUUCA